rnacentral:rRNA from 1 species
UCCUUAGAUGUUCUGGGCCGCACGCGUGCUACACUGAGUGGAUCAGCGGGUCAGGUUGCGCGAAAGUGUUUCCUAAUCUUGAAAUCCGCUCGUGAUGGGGAUUGACGGUUGCAAUUUUCCGUCAUGAACGAGGAAUACCUUGUAAGCGCGGGUCAUCAUCCCGCGCUGAAUACGUCCCUGCCCUUUGUACACACCGCCCGUCGCUCCUACCGAUUGAGUGGUCCGGUGAGGCUUUGGGAUCUGAGCGGAAAGAGCGUUUCGCUGUUUCUGCCCGGAAAACUCAGUCGAACCUUAUCAUUUAGAGGAAGGAGAAGUCGUAACA